CACACGGUCGGAGGACAUAGGCUUGAUCCAGGCUACUGGCGAUCUACCGCCACCACAACUGACAGCUCAUUUUUCUUCAUUGCGUCGCCUUCAAUAUAUUUUUGUCCUCUUCUUGGCGCUUUCACUCUUAAUGACAUUAAAAUUAAAAUGUGUUAUUUGAUAAAGACCAUAAAAUGCGAGAGAGAUAAGUGAGCAAUGCAAGGAUGUAACGAUGCUGCAAAGGAGAAAUGUUUAAAGCCUCAAGCAUUUCGAAAUUAAUUUCAUGGAUAUUUCUUCGGUACCCAACUUUUGAGCCUAUAAAUACCACUUUUUCGUUUUUGAGACUGACUGCAGCACAAAGUCAUGGAACGACAUAUAAUCCGGAAACGAUUUCGAUACUAGCAAAAGGCACUAUUUUUGGGGACCCACCAGUCGUCUAUUUCUGAUUUGAAACAAAGUAAAGGGUGAUCCUAGUAGAGGUACUUCUUUCAAUAGCUGUGAUGUUAUUAAGAAAUUCACCUUCUGUAAAGAAUGUGUUUCGCGCGCUUCGCUCAACUUAUGUUCAAUAUAAACGACCUGCCGAGCGUACUAUUCGCAACACCACUCCCAUCUUGAGACCCAGCAUUCAUUAUUGGAUAAUAUUCGAAUUCGCAUAAGCCACGUCGAGCACUCAGACAAGAAAAUAUAGCAGCCGUAGCUGAGAGCGUACGCGAAGAACGAGGAAAGUCGAUUCGGUGUCGUUGGUCGGUUGGCCGUCAAGAUCGUGUGGAAUCACACCGUUAGAUUUUUUCCCGAGGGGAUAUCUAAAAAUGGAUCAGCCAAACCAAUAAAACUACUACUCCAAAUUCCAUCCGUCAGAUUGAAAUUUUUGCGACCUUGGCUUCGAACUAAAACCACGAUAUUGUUGGAUAUACUCUAAGUCUUGAUAUAGAUUCAGUUAAGGAUAGAUUUCUUUAUAUUUUAGCUUUUACUCUUUUAGGAUUUUGCUUUC